UACGUAGGCAGCGAGCGCUGUUCGGAAUUACUGGGCGUAAAGAGUGUGUAGGCGGUGCUCCCAGUCUGUUGUGAAAUCUCCCGGCUUAACUGGGAGGGUGCAGCGGAAACUAGAGUGCUAGAGGGUGGGAGAGGUAAGCGGAAUUCCUGGUGUAGCGGUGAAAUGCGUAGAUAUCAGGAGGAACACCUGUGGUGUAGACAGCUUACUGGACCACUUCUGACGCUGAGACACGAAAGCGUGGGUAGCAAACAGG
rnacentral:rRNA from 1 species